rnacentral:rRNA from 1 species
AAUGAACGUUGGCGGCGUGGAUUAGGCAUGCAAGUCGAGCGAGAAACUCUUUUUUGAUCCUUCGGGUGAAGAAAAGAGCGGACAGCGGCGAAAGGGAGAGUAACGAGUAGAUCACGUACCCAAGGGAUCGGGAUAGCGGGGAGAAAUCGCCGGUAAAACCGAAUAAUGUCUCCGGACCAAAUAUUUAUAGCCCUUGGAGCGGUUUGCUUACUAUUAGCUAGUUGGUGGGGUAAAGGCUUACCAAGGCAAAGAUGGUUAGCGGGUGUGAGAGCAUGGCCCGUCUCACUGGGACUGAGACACUGCCCAGACACCUACGGGUGGCUGCAGUCGAGAAUCUUCCGCAAUGGACGCAAGUCUGACGGAGCGACGCCGCGUGCGGGACUAAGGCCUUCGGGUUGUAAACCGCUGUCAGUAGGGAGGAAAUUUUGACCGAUCUACAGAGGAAGCACAGGCUAAGUUCG